rnacentral:rRNA from 1 species
AGCGAACGCUGGCGGCAGGCUUAACACAUGCAAGUCGAACGGGCACUUCGGUGCUAGUGGCAGACGGGUGAGUAACACGUGGGAACGUACCUUUCGGUUCGGAAUAAUACAGGGAAACUUGUACUAAUACCGGAUACGCCCUUCGGGGGAAAGAUUUAUCGCCGAUAGAUCGGCCCGCGUCUGAUUAGCUAGUUGGUGAGGUAAUGGCUCACCAAGGCGACGAUCAGUAGCUGGUCUGAGAGGAUGAUCAGCCACACUGGGACUGAGACACGGCCCAGACUCCUACGGGAGGCAGCAGUGGGGAAUAUUGGACAAUGGGCGCAAGCCUGAUCCAGCCAUGCCGCGUGUGUGAUGAAGGCCUUAGGGUUGUAAAGCACU